UACGUAGGGGGCAAGCGUUGUCCGGAAUCAUUGGGCGUAAAGCGCGUGUAGGCGGCCCGAUAAGUCCGCUGUGAAAGUCCAGGGCUCAACCCUGGAAUGCCGGUGGAUACUGUCGGGCUCGAGUCCGGAAGAGGCGAGUGGAAUUCCUGGUGUAGCGGUGAAAUGCGCAGAUAUCAGGAGGAACACCGAUGGCGAAGGCAGCUCGCUGGGACGGUACUGACGCUGAGACGCGAAAGCGUGGGGAGCAACAGG
rnacentral:rRNA from 1 species